rnacentral:rRNA from 1 species
GAUGAACGCUGGCGGCGUGCCUAACACAUGCAAGUCGAACGGACAGACGAUGAGCGUGCGCUCCUAACGUUGGCGACGGGCGGGUGAGUAACGCGUGGAUCACCUUCCACUUAUACGUGGGUAACAUCGUAAGGACACAGACACUAAUAGAUAAUAUGUUCAACGGGAUGGUUCAAUAGUUAUUUAGGGUUUUGCUGUCACUUAGAGAUGAUUCCGGGCCGGAUUAGCUAGUUGGUAAGGUAACGGCUAACCAAGGCAACGAUGCGUAGCCGACCUGAGAGGGUGAUCGGCCACACUGGAACUGAGACACGGUCCAGACUCCUACGGGAGGCAGCAGUGGGGAAUCUUGCGCAAUGGGCGAAAGCCUGACGGAGCCAUGCCGCGUGGGUGAAGAAGGUCUUCGGGUCGUAAAACUCUUUUGUUAGGGAAGAACAACUGCGGGAGUAACCAUGCAUGUUUUGACGGUACCUAAAGAAAAAGCACCGGCUAACUACGUG